UCCAAGCAAAAAAACUGGGGACAGAAUUACAUGAUAAGAUCUACAGGCCACCAAGCAAAAUGUUUUAACUGUUUAUCAUGAUGCACUUGUACAGCACCGUGCUUGAAGGAGGCUUACAACACAAAGUAUUAGUCUUGAGAGACGGAGAACAACAUACAACAUGUCACGUCAAAGUUUACAGGUCACAGAGAUCUCCAUCCAAAACUGAGCCGAUCUCAUUGCAGGUUUCGAUAUGCUAGCAUAGGGCGGAGGGGCGUGCUAUGAUGGCUAUGACUACGAGAAGGUGUCCUCCCUGUCCCCCUCGGCGACCUCACCCUCCUCAAUGUUGCUGAACUCCAGGAAGUGCGUC
rnacentral:lncRNA from 1 species